GGAGUGCUUGCACUCUGUGAAACAAGAUACAGGCUAGCGGCGGACGGGUGAGUAACACGUGGGUAACCUGCCCAAGAGAUCGGGAUAACACCUGGAAACAGAUGCUAAUACCGGAUAACGACAGAUGAUGCCUAUCAACUGUUUAAAAGAUGGUUCUGCUAUCACUCUUGGAUGGACCUGCGGUGCAUUAGCUAGUUGGUAGGGUAACGGCCUACCAAGGCGAUGAUGCAUAGCCGAGUUGAGAGACUGAUCGGCCACAUUGGGACUGAGACACGGCCCAAACUCCUACGGGAGGCAGCAGUAGGGAAUCUUCCACAAUGGACGCAAGUCUGAUGGAGCAACGCUGCGUGAGUGAAGAAGGGUUUCGGCUCGUAAAGCUCUGUUGUUGGUGAAGAA
rnacentral:rRNA from 1 species